AAGUCAUAACAAGGUUUCUGUAGGUGAACCUGCAGAAGGAUCAUUAGUGAAAUCUGCCUUGACUCUCUGAGUCAUAGGCUCUUCUAUCUAUUAUCCAAACACAAGGCUACGGAAGGGGGUGUCGGUUUGGGCUAACCUGUUCCGGACUUGGUAUGGAGCGUGAGUGUGCUUCGGUGCGCUUGCGAGACCGCCUUGAAUUUUAUAACUCGAAUAUGUGAAAGAAUGAUAAACCUUUAUUGUCUUCGGACAUAAACUAAAUACAACUUUUGACAACGGAUCUCUUGGUUCUCC
rnacentral:misc_RNA from 1 species